rnacentral:rRNA from 1 species
GACGAACGCUGGCGGCGUGCUUAACACAUGCAAGUCGAACGGAAAGGCCCUGCUUUUGUGGGGUGCUCGAGUGGCGAACGGGUGAGUAACACGUGAGUAACCUGCCCUUGACUUUGGGAUAACUUCAGGAAACUGGGGCUAAUACCGGAUAGGAGCUCCUGCUGCAUGGUGGGGGUUGGAAAGUUUCGGCGGUUGGGGAUGGACUCGCGGCUUAUCAGCUUGUUGGUGGGGUAGUGGCUUACCAAGGCUUUGACGGGUAGCCGGCCUGAGAGGGUGACCGGGCACAUUGGGACUGAGAUACGGCCCAGACUCCUACGGGAGGCAGCAGUGGGGAAUAUUGCACAAUGGGCGGAAGCCUGAUGCAGCAGCGCCGCGUGCGGGAUGACGGCCUUCGGGUUGUAAACCGCUUUCGCCUGUGACGAAGCGUGAGUGACGGUAAUGGGUAAGGAAGCACCGGCUAACUACGUG